rnacentral:rRNA from 1 species
UACGUAGGGACCAAGCGUUGUUCGGAUUUACUGGGCGUAAAGGGCGCGUAGGCGGCGUGGUAAGUCACUUGUGAAAUCUCUGAGCUUAACUCAGAACGGCCAAGUGAUACUGCUGUGCUAGAGUGCAGAAGGGGCAAUCGGAAUUCUUGGUGUAGCGGUGAAAUGCGUAGAUAUCAAGAGGAACACCGAUGGCGAAGGCAGGUCUCUGGGCCAUAACUGACGCUGAGAAGCGAAAGCAUGGGGAGCGAACAGG